GGAACCGCCGAACAUAACAAAUUUUCUUCCUCCGAACAGAUUUCGGUUUCUCUUGGGUUCGCGAAGAGAUGGGAUCUCGGAAAACGAACUGAUUUUCUUUCACGAUAUUUUCUUCACAAGUUAACGUACAUACAGACAAAUUAGUGUAUGUAUGAUACAAUCCAAUCAACCCUUCAAUCAUCAUAGAUUUAUAAUCAAACCAUCAAACAUCAUCAUAGAUUUAAUAGCUAUAAUGGUAAAAGAAAAAAUGCAAUACAAUCAACCCAAAAAAAACGGAAGAAAACUUAGCUUGACGCCUUGAUGUAGAUCCAAAGUUGCGUUCCUUUUGAUUUUGCUAAUCCAAGUACAGCACAAACAGAUGCCUUUUUUUUUUUUUUUUUUAAUGAUUAUCCUAUUUGAUUCAUGUACAUCACAAACAGAUGUACACAUCCAUUCAAUUGAUAAUAAACAAAAUCCCCAGAAUUUCUUUCAAGAAAUCGAGAUCCACGGAUGCUUUUUUUUUUGAUAAUCCUAUUUGAUUGAAGUACCGCACAAACAGAGGCAGAGAUUCGUGCACAUCCAUUCAAUUGAUAAACAAAAUCCUUCUUCUAUCAUCAUUCGAUGCGAAGAAAAAAAAGAAGAAAUACGAAUCAAAAUAUCCCCUUCUAGAACUUUCUCUCUCGUCGCUCUUUUGGGAUUUCAUGGCGGAUUUUCUCUUCUCUGAGUGAACCGAAGGACCACUUGGGGGUUUAGAUCAAUCAUGAGCAUGGGGAUGUAAUAGAGGAGGCUGAUUAAGGUGGAAGUCAGUUUGUGGACAUUAUAAUGCUAUCAGAUUUAUUCAUACCUAUAGGAAGGCGAACUUCUCGGCUGAUGCAAUGGCAAAAAGAGGAUGUUUACUUGGCAAUGAGGAGGGUAUACAUUAUGAUGGUAGACCUAAUUUUUUGCUUUUAGUUGAAUAUCCAAAUGUUACUUAUUUUCGUUUUAAAUAGUUUGCAAGUUUUUGGGGUCGCUGUGACCUCUUUUCUUGCAAAUUAUCUUUUGUAAAUUUGUUAUCUAUUAUUACAAGUUUUUGACUUAUCAAAAAAAAUAAUCAAACCUUCUUGUUGUUUUAGUCUA